rnacentral:rRNA from 1 species
AGAGUUUGAUCAUGGCUCAGAACGAACGCUGGCGGCAGGCUUAACACAUGCAAGUCGAACGCACCUUUCGGGGUGAGUGGCAGACGGGUGAGUAACGCGUGGGAACGUGCCCUUCAGUUCGGGAUAACCCAGGGAAACUUGGGCUAAUACCGGAUACGUGCGAGAGCAGAAAGAUUUAUCGCUGAAGGAUCGGCCCGCGUCUGAUUAGCUAGUUGGUGGGGUAAUGGCCCACCAAGGCGACGAUCAGUAGCUGGUCUGAGAGGAUGAUCAGCCACAUUGGGACUGAGACACGGCCCAAACUCCUACGGGAGGCAGCAGUGGGGAAUAUUGGGCAAUGGGCGCAAGCCUGAUCCAGCCAUGCCGCGUGAGUGAUGAAGGCCUUAGGGUUGUAAAGCUCUUUCGUCCGGGACGAUAAUGACGGUACCGGAAGAAGAAGCCCCGGCUAACUUCGUGCCAGCAGCCGCGGUAAUACGAAGGGGGCUAGCGUUGUUCGGAAUCACUGGGCGUAAAGGGCGCGUAGGCGGCUUUGUAAGUCGGGGGUGAAAGCCUGUGGCUCAACCACAGAAUUGCCUUCGAUACUGCACGGCUUGAGACCGGAAGAGGUAAGUGGAACUGCGAGUGUAGAGGUGAAAUUCGUAGAUAUUCACAAGAACACCAGUGGCGAAGGCGGCUUACUGGUCCGGUUCUGACGCUGAGGCGCGAAAGCGUGGGGAGCAAACAGGAUUAGAUACCCUCGUAGUCC